GACGAACGCUGGCGGCGUGCUUAACACAUGCAAGUCGAACGGAAAGGCCCCUUUGGGGGUACUCGAGUGGCGCACGGGUGAGUAACACGUGAGUAACCUGCCCUUGACUUCGGGAUAACUUCAGGAAACUGGGGCUAAUACCGGAUAGGAAUCCUUGCUGCAUGGUGGGGGUUGGAAAGCUUCGGCGGUUUUGGAUGGACUCGCGGCUUAUCAGCUUGUUGGUGGGGUAGUGGCUUACCAAGGCUUUGACGGGUAGCCGGCCUGAGAGGGCGACCGGCCACAGUGGGACUGAGAUACGGCCCAGACUCCUACGGGAGGCAGCAGUGGGGAAUAUUGCACAAUGGGCGGAAGCCUGAUGCAGCAACGCCGCGGGCGGGAUGACGGCCUUCGGGUUGUAAACCGCUUUCAGCAGGGGCGAAGCUUGUGGUGACGGUACCUGCAGAAGAAGCACCGGCUAACUACGUG
rnacentral:rRNA from 1 species